GACGAACGCUGGCGGCGUGCUUAACACAUGCAAGUCGAACGGAAAGGCCCUUCGGGGUACUCGAGUGGCGAACGGGUGAGUAACACGUGGGUGAUCUGCCCUGCACUUUGGGAUAAGCCUGGGAAACUGGGUCUAAUACCGGAUAGGACCACGGCAUUCAUGUGCUGUGGUGGAAAGCUUUUGCGGUGUGGGAUGGGCCCGCGGCCUAUCAGCUUGUUGGUGGGGUAAUGGCCUACCAAGGCGACGACGGGUAGCCGGCCUGAGAGGGUGACCGGCCACACUGGGACUGAGAUACGGCCCAGACUCCUACGGGAGGCAGCAGUGGGGAAUAUUGCACAAUGGGCGCAAGCCUGAUGCAGCGACGCCGCGUGAGGGAUGACGGCCUUCGGGUUGUAAACCUCUUUCGCCAGGGACGAAGCGCAAGUGACGGUACCUGGAGAAGAAGGACCGGCCAACUACGUGCCAGCAGCCGCCGUAAGAC
rnacentral:rRNA from 1 species